rnacentral:lncRNA from 1 species
AGAAAAAGUUUCUCAUGUAAACUCUCCAUGCACAAAGAAGCCCACGCCCUUCCCUUCUCAUGCCAAGAGUGGAUAAAAUUUGUUGGUUGGCAUUUGAAUUCAAAUUCGAUUUGAAUUCAAGUGAGCAACCACUUAUCUUUAUCCUCUCACACGGUGAAAAUGCUGAAAAGACGUGGUCUUGCAUCGUUUUAAAAGGAAGAGAAGAUAGGGCAUGCACAUAUCUGAUCCC